UUGUUGUUGUUUUUUUUGUCAAUUCUGCUCACAGGAAAAAAGAAGAAUCUGAUUGUCGCCGAAACACCAACGUCGAAGCAGUUUCUCUCCGACGAGACAAACCAAGCCACACAUCCAACUGCUACAAUGCAGAUCCAGCCAUCAUUGUUAAUAACAACCUGAUAUGUUCGACGCUGCUACAAUCACGACCACUCGCAGAAUCUGCCUCGCCGCAGCCACCGCGCCCAAUCCACGAAGUCCGCUUUUGUACCAACGAAAAUGAAUCGACGGGAUUGCACAUAAUCAGCCGACCACACUCUUCAAUCCUCCGCCGCCAUGAAGACAACACUCUGUUAAUGAAGCUCCUCCCUCCGAUUGCAACCGCCGCAAGCACCUCCAUGGUGUUUUCUCCGUUGUUUCUGUUCCUCCGCCGGUAA